UGGGGCCUAAUGCUCGUACUCGAUAUAGAGUGAGAUUUUGUUCGAAGUUAAAUUACGAUCCGUAGUUACUAAUUGAAUGAUACGACUCGAAUGGAAUUAUUCAAAAAUUUAUCGAUUAUUGUCAAAAAAUAAUCGAAAUACCGACAAUCGAAACAUAUGUUUUCAUCCAAAAAGUAAACAAAACAAUUGUUUGCCGCUUCAUUAAAAGUUAAAAAAAAUUUUGGAUACGUGUUUUUUUGUAUUAUCCUCUUCGGAAGAUGAGGACGGUAAUAAUAUAAAUAUAAUAAGAAGACAAAUUCGAGAACGUAGUGACCCCUUAUCAUUGUCAGAAAAUGCAUUCCGUCAACGAUUUAGACUGACAAAAGAUGCUUUUCGAUAUGUGUUAUCUAGACUAGAUUUCUCCGGACAUAUGUCAUCGUCCAUUCCGGCAGUUCUACAAUUGGCAUCAACUUUGUCACUCUUGGCCAGUGGAAGUUUUCAGCACACUGUGGGUAAUGAUUUUCUUAUAGGAAUGAGCCAAAGCGCAACCUGCAGGGUUGUCCAGCGAGUCGCAAAAGAAAUGGAACUAAAACUUUGUCCAGAACACAUCAACUUUUCACCAGACCAGUCGGCUUUGUGUAUGGAACAUUUCUGUACAAAGUUUCGGAUUCCUGGAGGUAAGAAUAUAUUGACUUUUUCGAUUCUAAAAUAAAAUAAUAUAUGCAUUUUUACAUUUUUUUGCACCAAAACUUUGGACUGAAGAAAGCCCCUCUACAGCCGCUGAUAAUCCUGCUGCUUCCAGUAUCAGCUCUUCUGAUUGGGUGAUGAGUUUUUCUUCAUAUGGGCCUCCACCUGUCUGAUUCUUUGAUGCCUUGUUAAAAGAUAAUUUCUUCUUAACAUGUUGUUUUUGGUCUGCAUAAACCUUGGAAAGGAAAACUGUGAAACAUAAUUUUUCAUACCACUUUUCAAUAUAUACCUUUCGCCACAAGGUGACAUUCUUUACGGGUGGUCCUGCUCCAUUUAAUUUGGUUGUCAACUGCUCCCACAAACGAUUUGAUGACGCUCUACCUUCUGGACAAUUCGAAAUUUUUCCUUUGGCAAGUCCCGGGUGGUCAGACAUAAAAUCUGCCAUAAUUGCCUUUUGCUUAAAAUUUAUUUUGUUGCAAUUCGUGCUCCUGUGAAAUAAAAGGCUCAAUUAUAUCCAUUUUAUUUAUAUAAUUACAUUUUUUAAUACUUA